GCAAUUUUUGUCGAAUCGCACUAAGAUGUUGCGUGUAAGCAGCUUUUCGUAGCCUAGCCAUUCAAGUUCCACAUUAAGAGUCGGGCCUAACCGACUCCUGCGACUCACCCCUUUGUUCUGAAGGUCGAGCGCUCUCAGUCAUCAAAGACAGUGACGCAAUGAUUAACGAUGCGGGUAAACACGGGGUUAAGGGGAAGCGGCGGAAUCGCGGAAACUUAAGGUUUUCGCAAUGAAGGCCCU
rnacentral:misc_RNA from 1 species